rfam:Schistosoma curassoni strain Dakar, Senegal genome assembly, scaffold: SCTD_scaffold0004702
AUCCAGCUGACAAGUCCCAAAUAGGACGAAAUGCACAUCCUGGAU